GACGAACGCUGGCGGCGUGCCUAAUACAUGCAAGUUGAGCGCUGAAGGUUGGUACUUGUACCAACUGGAUGAGCAGCGAACGGGUGAGUAACGCGUGGGGAAUCUGCCUUUGAGCGGGGGACAACAUUUGGAAACGAAUGCUAAUACCGCAUAAAAACUUUAAACACAAGUUUUAAGUUUGAAAGAUGCAAUUGCAUCGCUCAAAGAUGAUCCCGCGUUGUAUUAGCUAGUUGGUGAGGUAAAGGCUCACCAAGGCGAUGAUACAUAGCCGACCUGAGAGGGUGAUCGGCCACAUUGGGACUGAGACACGGCCCAAACUCCUACGGAAGGCAGCAGUAGGGAAUCUUCGGCAAUGGACGAAAGUCUGACCGAGCAACGCCGCGUGAGUGAAGAAGGUUUUCGGAUCGUAAAACUCUGUUGGUAGAGAAGAACGUUGGUGAGAGUGGAAAGCUCAUCAAGUGACGGUAACUACCCAGAAAGGGACGGCUAACUACGUG
rnacentral:rRNA from 1 species